CAGCAGCCGCGGUAAUACGGAGGAUCCGAGCGUUAUCCGGAUUUAUUGGGUUUAAAGGGUGCGUAGGCGGCCUUGUAAGUCAGGGGUGAAAGACGGUAGCUCAACUAUCGCAGUGCCUUUGAUACUGCAGGGCUUGAAUGUACUUGAGGUAGGCGGAAUGUGACAAGUAGCGGUGAGAUGCAUAGAUAUGUCACAGAACACCAAUUGCGAGGGCAGCUUACUAAAGUAUGAUUGACGCUGAGGCACGAAAGCGUGGGGAUCAAACAGGAUUAGAUACCCCCGUAGUCCCUGUCUCUUAUAC
rnacentral:rRNA from 1 species